UGGAGGCUAAUAGGUGCCAGGU
rnacentral:piRNA from 1 species